UACGAAGGGGGCUAGCGUUGUUCGGAAUUACUGGGCGUAAAGCGUGCGCAGGCGGUUCGUUAAGUUCGUUGUGAAAGCCCCGGGCUCAACCUGGGAACUGCAUUUGUGACUGCAUGGCUGGAGUGCGGCAGAGGGGGAUGGAAUUCCGCGUGUAGCAGUGAAAUGCGUAGAUAUGCGGAGGAACACCGAUGGCGAAGGCAAUCCCCUGGGCCUGCACUGACGCUCAUGCACGAAAGCGUGGGGAGCAAACAGG
rnacentral:rRNA from 1 species